UUGACCUACGGGGCGCAGCAGUGAGGAAUAUUGGUCAAUGGGCUUACGCCUGAACCAGCCAAGUCGCGUGAGGGAAGACUGCCCUAUGGGUUGUAAACCUCUUUUGUCAGGGAGCAACGCCGGCUACGUGUAGCCGGACUGAGAGUACCUGAAGAAAAAGCAUCGGCUAAUUCCGUGCCAGCAGCCGCGGUAAUACGGAAGGUCCGGGCGUUAUCCGGAUUUAUUGGGUUUAAAGGGAGCGUAGGCCGGCUUUUAAGUCAGCUGUGAAAGUCCGCGGCUCAACCGUGGAAUUGCAGUUGAAACUG
rnacentral:rRNA from 1 species